rnacentral:lncRNA from 1 species
GGAAUGAAAACCACGGGGAAAAGCAAAACAUGAAAUCAAAACUAACAUAGGAUUUUCAAGACAGGACAACUUGAGUCAGGAGG